CAUGUCACAAGCGUUUCGUGCCGAACGUAAGCAGUCAUAAUCAUCUUUUAUCUCAUACAGUGAGCAUUCACUGGGGUAACAUUGGAGCAGCGUGAGGAGCGAGUUGACCACACACUCUGUUUUCAGCUUAUACAGCACACAUACGUCUCAUGUCUUUGGACUGUGGGAGAAAACCAGAGUACCUGGAGGAAACUCACCAAACAUGCAAACUCCACUCACACAGCCCCGAGGCUGGAAUAGAACUCUUGACCUGGGAAAUGCAAGGCGAUUGAACUAACCAGUAGUUAUGUCACCACCGUGUCACAAGCGUUUCGUGCCAAACGUAAGCAGUCAUAAUCAUCUUUUAUCUCAUACAGUGAGCAUUCACUGAGGUAACAUUGGAGCAGCGUGAGGAGCGAGUUGACCACAC